AAUCUUACAAAGAUGGCAAGUAUGGAGUCAAUAGACAUCAAAAUAGAAAAAUCUACGGUGGAAUAAUCCAAGAAAUUAUGCAUUGAUGUGUUUUUUUAGCUAGAAUAUCGUUUUUCCAAAAAAAAUCCCGCGCAGACGUAGUCGACAUGUACAUGUCGAAUUUUAUAGGCAAAAAUCGACAUUGAGAUGUCGAUUUUGUAGAACAAAAUCGACACCUUAGUGUUGAAAUUUAAUUGUUAGUAAAUU
rnacentral:lncRNA from 1 species